AUGGAGAUAGCACGAGGGAGAAGGGGUGGAUUGAUGUGAGCAUAGGUAUUUGGUCAAUUCUAGUGAUAAACUUUCUGUUUUGCGCUAUUUGAGCGAAGGGGUUUGGCUGCUAGAUAAGAGGUGCAGAGCCAGCGGGAGAAUAAUUGUUGCUGGCAAUGUUUACUGCUUUGAUGAGUGUGUAAAUCAAGCAUCAUCAAGUGUCUAUAAUCGCCUUAUCAGCACUUGACGGUUAUGGUAGUAAAAGGUUGUAGAUGAAGUUGUUUGGCAUGUUUGACGGUCAUAUGAUCACAUUGGAUUUGGAUUUUCAGUUAAUUGCGUCAUGAAAAUACAUAGAGAGCGAAUAAGCAACAACAUCAAUUGAAAGCAAUAAAGAGCUAGUUGAGAGCUGUGAAGGCCAAUGAUGAGUGACAGGGUUAGUUGAAAUGCGAUACCAAGGUUUUUAUAUAAUGGAAGGUUAAGCAGGUCGUUUAGUUUGUGGGGAAAAGCAGAGGAAGCCAAAUUUCAAAGGAAUUUGCUGAGGGGGGGGUGUUUGUUUUCAGAAUUUCUCACGGUGAAAAAAUAAUGGCCGCUCAGCCAGUUUUGACAUCUAAGACUACCUUAGAAUAUGUAAAUACCUUGUGCGAUACAGGGUGAUAGAGAGAGAGAGAGCAAAGCAGAGCGAUGAUAAGCGAUACAAAGCACCGGAAUGAGCCUCUGCACGAAUCUGGCGAACUGCUCACUCCCACAGAAAACUUGAAAACAGUUCGCACAGUAAAAGUCAAAUAUGACUUUUACUGUGCGCGCUGUUUUCAAAUUUUCUGUGGGAGUGAGCAGGACAGGGCAAAUUCGUGCAGAGGCUCAUGCAAAGGAAGCGAUAGAGUGCAACGAGAAGGUAGAAAAGCAAUUAUUAGAGAUAGGGAGCGAUAUAGAGUGAUGGGAAGAAAUAAAGAACAACAGAGAGCUUCACAGAGCAAUGAAGUGUGAAAAAAUACGGACAGAAAAAGUGAUUGUGAUCGAUGUAGAAUCAUAUUGACGGAACAACUCUGAUGAAAGGCUCUAAAUACGAUGAAGUGUGAAAUAUAUUGAUAGGAAGCAGCACAGAGUAAAGGAAUAGAAGAAGAAGCAUCUAAUGCACCCUUAUAAGGAUGAUAUCGAUCGAUGUACAGCGCAAGAGAUCGAUAUAGAGUGAUUGAGAUGCGAGACAAGUACACUACUGCUGGAGCGAUGGAAAGCGACAACAAGAGACAUACAUCGAUAGAGAUCAAAGGAUAACGAGCAAUAAAGAGCCGAAGUAAUAAAUGAA